AUUGAACGCUGGCGGCAUGCCUUACACAUGCAAGUCGAACGGUAACAGGUCUUCGGAUGCUGACGAGUGGCGAACGGGUGAGUAAUACAUCGGAACGUGCCCGAGAGUGGGGGAGUAACGCAGCGAAAGCUGUGCUAAUACCGCAUACGAUCUACGGAUGAAAGACAGGGGAGUUCGCAAGGACCUUGCGCUCAUGGAGCGGCCGAUGGCAGAUUAGGUAGUUGGUGGGAUAAAAGACUUACCAAGCCGACGAUCUGUAGCUGGUCUGAGAGGACGGCCAGCCACACUGGGACUGAGACACGGCCCAGACUCCUACGGGAGGCAGCAGUGGGGAAUUUUGGACAAUGGGCGAAAGCCUGAUCCAGCCAUGCCGCGUGAGUGAAGAAGGCCUUCGGUUGUAAGCUCUUUCAGAUGGAAGAAAACGUAACAGGUUAAUACCUUGUGCGGAUGACGGUACCAUCAGAAGAAGCACCGGCUAACUAA
rnacentral:rRNA from 1 species